UGUUAAAGUGAGCAAGGUGUGCCUUCCAAGAGAAGAUUCGGCAGCUGAAGACGGGCCCAUGGUGGGUUACGGAGGUUGGACGAAGACGGGCCCUCGGUAGGUGCCGGAUUUCAACCCAAUAAUCUCUCCUAGAUGCAACACUUGCAAGAACAUAGAUAUUUGAAUGUUAACUCAAACAUUGCAGGAUGUCCAAACGCAGGUGAUGGAAGUUAAACCUCACUUCACACCCCCUUGCAACGCUCAGGUUGCCAGAAGAAAUGUACAGAAAGCGACACCUGAAAGCCAAGGAGUUUGGGAAUGAAGCCUCUAGUUUCCGGAGGACAGAGGCCCAAACAAGUCAACACAGAUUAAAAGUAGGAGGAAAAGGCCCAGCCUUGAACAUACAGGAGGGCAGGAGGCACUUCUUCUCUGGGGAAACCAAAGCAUCAGCAUAGACCAGAAGAUAGUCAUUGGUGAAGUAGGCUGGUCUCCACUGUGCGAUACUAUUAGAUUCACCCCAAGGACUUGGCCAAAAGAAAGAUGUCCAGGAUCCUGACGUGCUCUUGGAGGGCACUGCUAGCAAGACAGAAAAAUCCCAGGAUCACAAAAGAAGCACAAUGAAGAACAACUAUCAUUUACUGAUAAACCUGCAGUGUCUUGGAUAUUAAUUUGAGAUCGAUCUGUACUGAAAGAUGUGACAGAUCGACGGUUGAAGAGCUACUUAACCUUGCCCUGGAGGAUGAUAUUCUACAAGGCGUCCAGGCUGAGAGUCGCUGUCCAACCUGAGGAGAUCCAGUGCAUCUGUUGCCUUCUCUCGCCCAGUCCAACAUAAGGUAUGUAAAAAGCUACUGAAAAGAGCUUAAUAUUUUAUUCCCAACAAACAGGGUUUUUUAAGAGUCAGUGAAAAGAGAUGUAAUAUUUCAUUCCCAUAGUCUGCCAUGUCCAUUUAAUCUGGUUGUCCUGUUUCUCUAUUUGUAGUGCUUUGUUUAGAAGCAUGCAUCUAUUUCAGACCAGUAUUUGAUCUUGUGGAUCGUGCCAUAAUUUAUUAGUAAUUGUAUUGUGACAAUGUAAGGUGCUGGAAUAGGCAUUUGAACCUUCUUCAAUAGGUAGCAAAAAAAUGGUAAUGGUAAAAGGAUGAUUAGUAGGAUGACCACAAUAAUCUUCGAAGCUGGUUCUUGUUUGAUCCAAACAUAACUUGCUGUUGUAGUGACUGAUCAUGAUACAUUUGUCUGGACCUGGGUUCGAUCCUGACUACGGGUGCUCUCUAUGGAAUUUGUUCAUUCUCCCUGUGACCUGUGUCGGUUUUCUCUGAGAUCUUUGGUUAACUCCCACACAAGGCGUACAGGUUUGUGGGUUAAUUAGGUAUGGUAAAGAUUAUAAAUUGCUCCUACUUUGCGUGAUAGUGAUAGUGUUAAUGUGCGGGGAUCACUGUACGGUAUAGACUCAGUGAGUCGAAGGGCCUGUUUUUGCACUGUAUCUAAACUAAACUAAUUCACUGAUUCUCUUGUGCCCUUGCCUCUGUCUCUGUCUCUGAUUUCACCAACGGAUACGGAGGACCUCCACUCCCAGUAACCUUCCUCCUCAACCCUCCUUCUGUGCUGUCUUGGGCAAGCAGAAGUCACCAAUAUUGAUGGACCCAUGCUCUCAGAUCUUAGCUAUCAUGGACCUUCUGUGGACCAAUGAGCUUAACCUGGCCAAUCUGCACGCUGACAGUUGCCGUCUUGCCCGAGGAGAUCCAGAGCAUCUGCAAUGUUCCCUCGCUCAUUCCACCAAAGCCUCUGCUGGGUUUGAUCCAGAGUAUGAGGCACUGCCCUAACCAUUAGAGAUGGAUGCCAUGUUGAAAAUAACCUCAAGUAUUCAGAAAGGAAUGGAUGGAUCCUGCUUCUUAUUGCUCCCUCCAGCAAGAUGGCGGUGGAACGCUUCAUCCUCCAGAUCAGCACAACAGCAGUCUGCAGUACCAUCGGGCAGCUCAUUGUGAUGAUGGUAGCCGGAAUCACCAGGACAAUGGUCCAGACUUCCAAUUUGUACAUUGACAUAAUUGAAACUGCCUUAUUGGGUUAAAGCACAGAAUGGAUUUAGAUGAAUGAAAUAAUAUGAGCUACUGAAUUCCAUCAUCACCAAAAAAGCAUGCCAUCAUUUCUACUUCCUCAGAAGACAAGGAUAUUUGACAUUAAUUUAAAGACUCUUACCACCUUCUACAGUUGAACUGUAGAAAACGUACUGCCGGGUUGUAUCACAGCUUGGUUUGGGAACAGCUUUGCCCAAGACCACAAGAAAUUGCAGAGUUGUGGAUCACUCCAGCAUACAAACCAGACUUCCCACCAUUGACUACAUCUACACUUCACUCCCUUGGGAAAGCAGCCAACAUAAUCAAAGACUUCCACCCUUGUCAUUUCCACUUUUCCCUGUUUCCACCACAAAGAGGGUAUAAAAGCUUGAAAGUGCGUACCUUCAGACUCGGGAACAGCUUCUUCCCCUGUUAUUUGAAUUCUGAACGGUCUUUCCAGAAGCUAGGAUACAUUUCCUAAUUUCCAAUCAACAUCAUUGUGAACAUUGAACUUUUUCUCAGAAACGAUUAUGCUACAAUGUUGAGAAACUGUAUGCUGCACUAUGCAUGUUUCCCCUCUCCUUACCUAUUGUGCUUGUGUAUGGCUUGAUUGUAUUUAUGUACAGUAUUACCUUAUUUAAUUGCAUAGCAUGCAAACAAAAGCCUUUCACUGUAUCUCAGUGUACACAACAAUAAAGCAAUUUAAACGUUUUGUGUGCCACAGUAGAUUACUUCACAUUGCCAUAUUAUAUUCCUUCUGUUAUGUUCUGGCCCACACACUCAGCUUGUUUCUAUCCCUUUACAUCUUUCUAUCCCUUUCCCUCUUUACAUCCUUCUCACUGCUCAAACAUUUCCCAAGUUUUGUAUCAUCAGUAAAAUUGGAAAUGUGAUAUUUAGCUUCCUCAUCCAACUAGUUGAAGAAGACUGAAUAAUCAGGGUUCCUGUGUUACCAACCUAUUUAUUCCCAAUCCUUUCUGCCUGACAGCCAAUUCUCAAUAGCCAGCAGUAUACUACACUAAUCACAUACUAUCUGAAGUUCUAAAUGUACCACUGCCAUUGUCCAUUUAACCAACCAUAUCCUCAAAUAUCUUCAAAAAAAUUAACACCAUCCACUUUUCUGGAUUAAACUCCACUAUUGCUCAGACCAUUUGCCCAACUGCUUUAGAUCCUGCUGUAAAUUUUGAUAACAAUCUUCACUGUCUAUCAUACCACACACAUUAGUGUCACCUGCAGACUCUCAAUCCCAAAAGGCCACUCCAUUACAACUUGCCUUCAUUUAUUGCCUGCUUAAUUAGUCCAUUUUGAUCACUUUAGCAAGUCUACGGCUGCCUUGAAAUCGCUUGGGAAAGCAGCCAACAUUUGUUCUGUUUUAUUCCAUUCCUUUUAACCAUCUCUUUCCCCUCCCCCUCCCACAGGUUGGCAUGGUGGCGCAGUGGUAGAGUUGUUGCCUUGCAGCGCCAAAGUCCUAGGUUAGAUCCCGACUCCGGGUGUUUGUAUGGAGUUUGUGACCGUGUGGGUUUUCUCUGAGAUCUUCGUUUUUGGGAUGUGGAAGGAAACUGGAGAAAGCCUACAUGGUCACAAGGAGAACGUGCAAACUCCACACAGACAGCACACAAGGUCAGGAUCGAACCUGGAUCUUGUGCGCUGGUGAGAUAGCAGCUCUACCAGCUGAGCCACUGUGCUUCCCUGGGAUGCUAAUGAUCUUAGCAACCCAGUAACCUGACCCAACUCUACCCAGCCUCAACUCCACACAAAUCUCCUAUCAUUUUAUUCGAACACACUCUUAAUUACCCUCCCAUCUGCUACGGUAUAGAAGAGUCACAUCAAUGAUCCAAUUCUUCAAUUGCCUUUGAAGUUUCUGCCUUUGUGAUAAGCUGCCGAUGAUGAAAAGUGCCCCCAUUGUUCCCGCUGCUUCUAUGUUACCCUGUGCAUUAUGAUCAAGGGAUUAGUUACUUCUAAUGGGAGAGGAUGUAUCUGCAAUAGUACUAUUUGCUCUGCUUCCAUGGCUAAUCAUAGGUAUUUCUGAUGUAAACACUUCACCUUGUUCCGUUAGCACAAUUAUAACCACAUUGAUUUUCUUGAUUGAGUAAAUGGAAUGAGAAUGGAUGUGGGGGGAGAGGUAAGUCUAAAUGUAAUAAUAUAAACAGAAGUAACAUUUAACUUUUCAAACUUUGUGCAAGACCAUGUCUAUGUCUUGGGUUCACCUUUCAUCCCACGUCUGCCAUUUUCCCCCCAAAAUAUAAACUAUAUGCAGAAGAAAAAAUAUAUACAAAACCAAAGACUGUAAAAACUCAUUAUCAGUGCCUAAACAUUGGAUGGUGUCAUAGAAACAUAGAAAAUGGGCACAGGAGUAGGCCAUUCUGCCCUUCGAGUCAGCACCACCAUUCAAUGCGAUCAUGGCGGAUCAUCCUAAAUCAGCUCGCCAUUGCUGCUUUCUCCCCAUAUCCCUUAAUUCCGUACUUUGAUUCCCUUGAUUCAUACUUUGUAGUGUUCACACCUAUCUAAACAAAAUAUCCUUGUGGCCUCCAUGAGGUGACAUCCCUGUCCUUGUUUGAGGGGGGUUUCCACUAGACUCUGCCCUUCAAUGUUCAGCAGCGGAAGGACCCUAGA